ensembl:lncRNA
UAAUAAUUGUUUUUAAUUUAAAAAUAUCCGAGAUGGUGAGAUCUGAAAUUAACUAAUUAAUUAAUCAAGUUGUUUAUUUGUUUUACCUUCAAAAAAUCCUAAGAAGAUGAGAUCUGAUAGGACAGGAAAGCAGAAAGACGGUAAAACUGAGUGAAUGUAGAACUUGUGUGGAUAGUGUUUUGUGAUUCUAGUCUGGUAGUUCUUUGUUCAGGUUGCCCUUUGAUUCAACACCUUUGAAAAGUGUACGAUUGGUGUAUGUACACAAGGCCUUUUCAUGAUACCCAGCUUUGAGCGAAAAUAACGUCAAGUCUGGUGUAAGUGUAGUCAGAAGGUGUGUUGGUUCUUCAGACUGCUUGUGUGUGGAUAUAGCAGUUCAGGAUUAUGAAACAGGAUCUACUUUUGUUACACAAAUAAGAACUAAAUUACUUCCUGUUAAUAAAUCUAUAUCUGAUAGGUUACGGCUGUGCAAUACAUUGAGUUUCUCCACAGUUUUGUCUUCUUAAAUGUCUUCAUUGAAAGGAGAGGAUACUGGUUCAAUACCUGUCCACUCGCUUUUCAUGCAAACAAUAUUUAUUCUGCCAUUGCUUUAGAAGAACUUUGGCCUGUGCUCUGACUGUGCACUAAAAGUGGAGUGGCUGUAUAUUUUGCUGUUGUCUGAAAGAUCUCCAUGUUGAAGCAAUAAAAGGCUUUUCUUCCAGUUGCGUUCCUCCCUUUAGCCGUUAUAGAGUGCCUCUCACUAAACAAAUUGCACAUCACUCUACCUCGCGGGCCAGCAUAGAGCGAGCAAUGUUUUGAAAGCUUGAGAUUAUUGGGCUACCAUACGUGCAGCAACUUACCAAGAGAGAUGGAGAGCAUUGUAUAACAGUUAUUGUGCGCUCACAAAAAGGAACAUAAUAUGUACUAAAACCCCAUUUGACUAGUAAUUGUUUCUCAGGGGAGCUUCUGUAAAAUAAUGUUUGCAUGUUGUCAGGUAAAGUUGCAUCAGAUGUAGUCAGUCAUGUGACUUUUCUAGUGUGGUGUUGAACAAGCUAAAACCUUUAGGCUUUAUUCAGGUGGUGACUGUUUUGUCAAUUACAGGUGAAUUUAUUGCUGUUCUUUCUCCAUCGUUAUUGUUUUUUCUCCAUUAUCCAGGAGAAAAUUCCCAGAUCUGGAGGGCAUCCCUGUCUUUUCCUUGUGUGCCAAAUCGAUUGCAGGUAAACUAAUCUACUCUUGAAGCCACCUGAAUAAAGAAGCCCUCCAGAUGAAAGCUUUUACAGUACAUGCCAAGUGGACAGGGAAUUGUGGGAUUGCAGUCAAUGGGGCCUGUCAUGGUUUCCAUGGUUGCCGUCUCCAGGGAGACACGAGAUGCGAGAAGCAUCCGUGCUGAUAUGGGUUGAGAUGACAUGUGAAUGGAUAUUGCCUCUAUAAAGUCCUUAAAAUCAUUUACACAAUAUGGAUGUGGUAUUUUUAUGGCUUUAUAAGGAAUCUGCUGUACUACCCAUCUAUUGAAGGUUCAAGAGUUUCACGGAAAUUUAGUUUUAAAGAUUUCAUUCACUGAUAAUGGUUCAGUGAUUCAGUGAGUUGUCAACUCAAGACCCAAUCGGACCGAUUCAGUCAGAUUUGUGAAUUGUUCAGUAUGGUUUGUGAAUGUAUCAGUCAGUCAAUUUCACGAACAAAUUGUUCAGUCGUUUGAUAAACUAGUCUUAUAAUUUCAUUUGCUGAAUGAAUCGUUUACACCAGAUCUGUCAGUCAUUCGGGCUGGUUCUGUGAAUCAUUCUAUCAUUUCUCUAAGUCAUUAAAUCA